AUUGAACGCUGGCGGCAGGCCUAACACAUGCAAGUCGAACGAGUGGCGGACGGGUGAGUAAUGUCUGUGAACCUGCCCGCUGGAGGGGGAUAACUACUGGAAACGGUAGCUAAUACCGCAUACCAUCGGAUGUGCCCAGAUGGGAUUAGCUAGUAGGUGGGGUAAAGGCUCACCUAGGCGACGAUCCCUAGCUGGUCUGAGAGGAUGACCAGCCACACUGGGACUGAGACACGGUCCAGACUCAUACGGGAGGCAGCAGUGGGGAAUAUUGCACAAUGGGCGCAAGCCUGAUGCAGCCAUGCCGCGUGGAUGAAUAAGGCCUUCGGGUUGUAAAGUACUUUCAGCGAGGAGGCGGUACUCGCAGAAGAAGCACCGGCUAACUCCGUGCCAGCAGCCGCGGUAAUAC
rnacentral:rRNA from 1 species